AUGGCAGCGUCUCUCCAAGCCGCGGCUACGCUGAUGCCGGCCAAGAUCGGCGGCCGGGCCUCCUCCGCGCGGCCGUCGUCGCACGUCGCCCGGGCGUUCGGCGUCGACGCUGGCGCCAGGAUCACCUGCUCCCUGCAGUCCGACAUCAGGGAGGUCGCAAGCAAGUGCGCCGACGCCGCCAAGAUGGCCGGCUUCGCCCUCGCCACCUCUGCCCUCCUCGUCUCCGGCGCGAGCGCGGAGGGGGCGCCCAAGAGGCUGACCUUCGACGAGAUCCAGAGCAAGACCUACAUGGAGGUGAAGGGUACCGGCACCGCGAACCAGUGCCCGACCAUCGACGGCGGCGUCGACUCCUUCCCCUUCAAGGCCGGCAAGUACGAGAUGAAGAAGUUCUGCCUGGAGCCCACCUCCUUCACCGUCAAGGCCGAGGGCAUCCAGAAGAACGAGCCGCCGGCCUUCCAGAAGACCAAGCUCAUGACCCGUCUCACCUACACCCUUGACGAGAUGGAAGGCCCGCUCGAGGUCGGCGCCGACGGCACCCUCAAGUUCGAGGAGAAGGACGGCAUCGACUAUGCGGCCGUCACCGUGCAGCUCCCCGGAGGCGAGCGCGUGCCCUUCCUCUUCACCGUCAAGCAGCUCGUCGCCACCGGCAAGCCCGAGAGCUUCAGCGGGCCCUUCCUUGUGCCCAGCUACAGGGGUUCGUCUUUCCUCGACCCAAAGGGCCGUGGUGGCUCUACUGGCUACGACAACGCCGUGGCGCUACCCGCCGGAGGCAGAGGAGACGAGGAGGAGUUGGCCAAGGAGAACGUGAAGAACGCGUCCUCCUCCACAGGCAACAUCACGCUCAGCGUGACCAAGAGCAAGCCGGAGACCGGCGAGGUGAUCGGCGUCUUCGAGAGCGUGCAGCCGUCAGACACCGACCUCGGCGCCAAGGCGCCCAAGGAUGUCAAGAUCCAGGGUGUGUGGUACGCGCAGCUCGAGUCUAACUAG
rnacentral:rRNA from 1 species